rnacentral:rRNA from 2 species
UUGUUGCCAGCGAUUAGGUCGGGAACUCAAAGGAGACUGCCAGUGAUAAACUGGAGGAAGGUGGGGAUGACGUCAAGUCAUCAUGGCCCUUACGACCAGGGCUACACACGUGCUACAAUGGCGCAUACAAAGAGAAGCGACCUCGCGAGAGCAAGCGGACCUCAUAAAGUGCGUCGUAGUCCGGAUUGGAGUCUGCAACUCGACUCCAUGAAGUCGGAAUCGCUAGUAAUCGUGGAUCAGAAUGCCACGGUGAAUACGUUCCCGGGCCUUGUACACACCGCCCGUCACACCAUGGGAGUGGGUUGCAAAAGAAGUAGGUAGCUUAACCUUCGGGAGGGCGCUUACCACUUUGUGAUUCAUGACUGGGGUGAAGUCGUAACAAGGUAACCGUAGGGGAACCUGCGGUUGGAUCACCUCCUUACCUUAAAGAAGC